CGGGCGGGUGAGUAACGCGUGGGUAACCUGCCUUGUACAGGGGGAUAACAGUUGGAAACGGCUGCUAAUACCGCAUAAGCGCACGGCAUCGCAUGAUGCAGUGUGAAAAACUCCGGUGGUAUAAGAUGGACCCGCGUUGGAUUAGCUAGUUGGUGAGGUAACGGCCCACCAAGGCGACGAUCCAUAGCCGACCUGAGAGGGUGACCGGCCACAUUGGGACUGAGACACGGCCCAA
rnacentral:rRNA from 1 species